rnacentral:tRNA from 1 species
GGGCUGUGGCUCAGUGGGACGGAAUCUGCGUGGCAGGCAGAAGGCCGCAGGUUCAAGCCCGGCCAGCAUCU